UACGUAGGGGGCUAGCGUUGUCCGGAAUCAUUGGGCGUAAAGCGCGUGUAGGCGGCCCGGUAAGUCCGCUGUGAAAGUCCAGGGCUCAACCCUGGGAUGCCGAUGGAUACUGUCGGGCUCGAGUCCGGAAGAGGCGAGUGGAAUUCCUGGUGUAGCGGUGAAAUGCGCAGAUAUCAGGAGGAACACCCGUGGCGAAGGCGGCUCUCGUGGGACGGUACUGACGCUGAGACGCGAAAGCGUGGGGAGCGAACAGG
rnacentral:rRNA from 1 species